GGCUCCGUAGUUUAACGGAUCAGAAUACUAGAUUUCGGCUCUAGUGAUGGGGGUUCGAUUCCCUCCGGGGCUA
rnacentral:tRNA from 1 species